ACCGGUGACUCAGUGGUUGACUCAAAGGCUAGAGGGUGGUUUGGGGGUGGAGGCAGAGGUCCAGUGAGCUGGGCUCCACCCUUUCUCUCCCUGCAGUCCCAACUCCAUUUUUAUCUGUGCUAUAUGUUGGAGUCUAGCCAAGAUGUCAUUUGAACAAAGAUUCUGAAAGAUCAAAGAAAAAAGUUUGAAAACCACCAGGACAAUGCUUUCAGGGGACUUUAUCCAAAAGACUGCAACAAUGUAAAGAGAUACGAUUGCUUUUAUUACUGUGAUAUGUUUAAAGUAUUAUAAAUUUUUUAAGAGCUUUGUAAGUGACAGAAGUGAAGACAUGCUCAUUUUAAUGUUACCAGUCAACUCUGAGAAGACUAAAGGUCAAGGGACAAUGAAAAUGUGACCCUUACCAACGACAGAAACUCCCAGGAAGCCACAAUUAACUCAAGACCACCAGGAUAUUUGGGGAAGUUUAUCCUUCUGGAAACCAGAAUUUCUGAUUUGUGGAAAAUUCUAUAGAUAUUCUCUGCCAGACUCCAGCCUAUUUGUGUGAGACAUCUGGGGAGGCUCCCCUUUUUUUCACCAUUUGAGGACUGAAAGUAAAUUUAGCUUCCUCAGCAGAAAGAAAAGAAGCUGUUUUGGAGGUUGGGAAGAGCUUUAGAAAAUGCGGCAUCACGUCUGUUGCCCCAUUUGAAGAAAGCAGCUCUGGAAAAGGCCUAGGACAUUAGUUGCUACAAAGUUCUAGAUCAUUCUGUGUGGUAAAGAAGUGCCUUUCACCUCCCACUGUGAUUCUGAGGCCUCCCCAGCCAUGUGGAACUGGGUCAAGCAAUGGAAUGGAAAUGUGUCAUGUCCUUUCAAGGUCAUCUGUGGAGCAAUGUUUAACAGCCUGCCCAAGAAAUAUUUAAUUACCUAGAGGAAAUCAUCCAUCCCACUGAUGCAAAAAGAAGGUGGUUUCCAUUUUCACUCUGGAUCUAUCUAAUUGACUAUUUAAUUGAUGUGGACUUUAGUAGAGGCAGUGAUUGCUUCCAGUUGGUGGGCCCAGGAAGACUGUGAAAAAGGAGUCACAGAAGGCCUGGAAUGGCUGCGAUGGAGAUAAAGGAUGAAGGGUAGUCCCCUCAGGGUGUUAUCCAAAAAGUCACCUUGGAAGAGGAAGAAACUCCUACCAAUAUCAGAAGAGCAACAAACAUUUUUUUUUCUAGAAGAUAAGUGGCUAAUUUCAAAAUAAUUAUUUUAUCAACUGCCA